CUUUCUCUCUUCGCCUGCUGCCGUCCAUGUAAGAUGGGACUUGCUCCUCCUUGCCUUCCACCAUGAUUGUGAGGCUUCCUCAGCCACGUGGAACUAUGCCCUGACCUUCCGGGAAACCCUCGGUGAGAGGCCCACAGCCUCGCUUCUAGGGUCACCACUGCUUCUUCCAGUCUAGCCAAACAGCUCCUAGUACAGCUCAGAGCACCCUGCAAGGAGGGCACGUGUUAAAUCGAGGAGCACACAUGCUCCACGAGGAAUUCUUUGCUUUGAGGCCAUGCACAGAGGUGGGUUCACUAUGAAGCUUGUGAAAUAAGCUUCAGGGCCCGCAUUUGCAUGGGCCACAGAGAGUCUGGGAGCUGCAGAAGGUUCAAGGGAAGAGGAGCCAUCACAAGCAGAAUAUUCUAGAAGGCAUUUCUGGCAAAUGGCCCAAAGAGGCCUCAGGAGAAAAGAACUUGAGUCUUCAAGGAUGCAAUGAGAAGGCACCAUCUGUGAGGAACAGGCCUCCGACAGACACCGAAUUUGCUGGCACUUUGAUCUUGGACUUCCCAGCCUCCAAAAUUAUCCAUAAUGGAUUCCUGGGACAUUUUCAGAUCUCCUUCCAGCUUCCUCUUCGCCCUUUCCAAGUCCGCCCGCAGUUUCUUCUCCUGCUCUAAGGAACCCUCAAGCUGAGAAGACACACAGAAGACCCAGAAGUCCAGCUUUGAAGAAAACCUGGAGAAAGAGAGAGUCACAAAUCAUCUCCAUACUGCAGGAGAUGCAGAAAUGGCAGAAGGAUCUCCCUUAAACAUUGGAAGAAAAGAACAGAUGGGAUUAAAAGAAGAAUUAAAGAGAUG
rnacentral:lncRNA from 1 species